rnacentral:tRNA from 1 species
GGGGUUGUGGCUCAGCGGUACAGCACUCGCCUAGCAUGUGUGAGGCCCUGGGUUUGACCCUCAACACCACA